CCUACGGGAGGCAGCAGUGGGGAAUAUUGCACAAUGGGCGCAACUGAUGCAGCGACGCCGCGUGGGGGAUGACGGCCUUCGGGUUGUAAACCUCUUUCAGUAGGGACGAAGCGCAAGUGACGGUACCUACAGAAGAAGGACCGGCCAACUACGUGCCAGCAGCCGCGGUAAU
rnacentral:rRNA from 1 species